GCAGCCAUAGUGUUAGAGGCUAACACGCCUGCCUUCCAAGCAGGAGAGGCGGGUUCGAUUCCCGCUGGCUGCUCCA
rnacentral:tRNA from 1 species